GGGGAUGUAGUUCAGUGGUAGAGCGCUUGCCUAACAUGCACAAGGCCCUGGGUUCAACCCCCAACAUCUUCC
rfam:Ictidomys tridecemlineatus contig082621, whole genome shotgun sequence.